AGAGUUUGAUCAUGGCUCAGGACUAACGCUGGCGGCGUGCCUAACACAUGCAAGUCGAACGAGGUAGCAAUACCUAGUGGCAGACGGGUGAGUAACACGUAGUCAACCUACCUCUUAGUGGGGGAUAACUAGCCGAAAGGUUAGCUAAUACCGCAUACGAUCGUCGCGGGGCAUCCUGUGACGAUGAAAGCAGCAAUGCG
rnacentral:rRNA from 1 species